rnacentral:rRNA from 1 species
GACGAACCGGACGAACGUUAUUCGGAAUUACUGGGCUUAAAGGGUUCGUAGGCGGCCUUGUAAGUGAGAUGUGAAAUCCCUCGGCUCAACCGAGGAAGUGCAUUUCAUACUGCAAGGCUUGAGGGAGACAGAGGUAAGCGGAACUGAUGGUGGAGCGGUGAAAUGCGUUGAUAUCAUCAGGAACACCGGUGGCGAAAGCGGCUUACUGGGACGGUACUGACGCUGAGACGCGAAAGCGUGGGGAGCGAACAGG